UGGGAUGUAGCUCAGGGGUAGAGCGCUUGCCUAGCAUGUGCAAGACCCUGGGUUCAAUCCCCAGUACCCCUA
rnacentral:tRNA from 1 species